CUCCACCCCACGUGCUGUUAUCAGCUAUACAGCACUCUUUACUAUGUAUAUCAUCAAUAUUGAAAGUUGUAUUUUAAAGUUUGUAUUAGGCCCGCCAAGCCCCAAGAGUUCACUAUAAAGUUUGAACCUGAGACUAGGGGGCCCCUUUAAUUGGGGGCCUACUGCUAAUUCCCCCUUGCCCCCUCCUAUUGGUAGUCAUGCAUGAUGUACAUGUGACUAGUAACGUGUUAUCUUGUAAUAUUUUUAUGUAGAAAUGUUCAGCUAAUGGUACAGGAUGUGGUGUUUGUCAUUCAAGGGAUCUGUUGUUCAGGUUUAGUGAAGAUGUGGUUACAUGUCCUAACUGCUCCUCACACUUUCACUGGUUAUAGCAAGUUCCUGUUAAAGGUUCAAGUACAUUAGGUUAAUGACAAUAAGAGGAUAAGUACAAUUCUCUGCUAUUGAAGACUACAUUGAGAAGUUAAUUGUUUGCUGUUUGAAACUGUACAUUAACUGAAGACUAUAAAGAAUUACUUAACAUUAUUGUUUAUAAUUUUAGCAUUUUUGUUUAAUACACAAAGUUGUCUUUUUGUCAUUGAUUAUUAUGAA